GCCAGUGUUUCUGUGCUCUUGGCUUUCUUGUAAUUUUCCUGUUAAAUUGUAGCUCUGCCUUGGAAUUUCUCACCAAGUAUUUGUGCAGAGUUCAUUCCUCCUGCUGCUUUACCUUCAAUCCAGCAUGCUUGCCUGAAGGCCCUCAGGCAGCCCCUGGUUCUGUGCUCUGUGUUUGGCUGGUCAGCGUUCUUCUGCCAGGUGGUCCCCUCCUGCAGUUCAUUACCUGCCUGGGUUAAAGCUCCUGCUCAGAAAGUGAACGUAACCUUGUCUUCUCCAAGUCACCGACAAGCACGUGACAAAGAAGGGGACCCAGAAGUUCUCGGGGCCCUGGCAGCGAGAGCAACAGCAAAUGGUGUUGGAGAGUUUCUGUGAGCCCCUGUUUAUGAGUCUUGUUUGGGGUUGUCCCUUUGUCCCCUCUGGAGGCGCUCCUUGAGUGUGUUCAGGCUGUGCCACGUCUGUCCCCGGCUGGAUGCAGGGUGUUCCAGGUGCUGCAAGGCUUUGGUCAAAUGGCUGGGAGACACUGGACCCUUGAUGAGCAUUGACUGUGCUUGUGGAGGGCCUGGCCACGUGGGCAUUCCUGGGAGGAAGAGUGCCCUGUAGUGAGUGCAGUGACCCCUAAAGUUGGAGAGGUGCUUGGGAUGACACAAGGAGGCUUUGGAGAAACCAUUUUCCAGACUCACACUUGUGUUGAAAGGUCCCUGGCAAAUGCCAGACAAGAACUGACACAGAAUUUCUUGGGACCCUGGCAGAGAGAAAGAGAGAAGCAGCAAACGGUGUUGGGAGCGUUUCUAUUGAAAAUGGAGUUGCUGAGAUAAGUUUUAACAGUAAGAAAGCAGCAAGUUCUCUAGGGUUUGACAGUCUGUGAGCACUGGAUGGGUCCUAUUUAUAUAUUGUGGCAUCGGUGGUGGAGUCUAUGGGAACUGGAUCUCUUGGGCAGGUCCCUUGACUUUGCUCUUCUUGAUGGCAAAACCGGCUUCCAGGAGAAUGUGGAUGAUCUUCUCUCCUUUCUCAAACCCUUCCGUUGCUGUGUUCCCCGACACAAUGAUGUCAUUGAUGUACUGUAGAUGUUCCGGAGCCUCACCCUUUCCCAGGGCAGCUUGGAUGAGUCUAGGGCAGAUGGUGGGGCUGUGUUUCCACCUCUGGGGCAAUCGGUUUUAGGUGUACUGCACACCCCUCCAUCCUCCAGGGGGCCGUUUUCUGAUUAUGGGCCAAUGGGGCCCACCAGUGACAUGACACAUUCCAUCAUCCCAUUGUGAGAUGCUCCAGCCAGUGGGGGAGGAGCCACCUGUUCCUAGCUAGAUCAAAACUGGGACUGAAGAACAUAAGGUAUCCAAUUUUUCCACUGGAUUGCCAGAGGAAGACCGGACCCAUCUCGUCACCACUGGACUUUCUACAGGACCGUCUCUACUCCCCAGAACCACAUCUGUUACUCUGGGAGGAGUUAUUUGGACUGCUUGCGACACCCUGACCAUCAGGGUGCCAGGUCAUAUCCCUGACUCUGUCAGGGUUGU